GACGAACGCUGGCGGCGUGCUUAACACAUGCAAGUCGAACGGUAAGGCCCUUCGGGGUACACGAGUGGCGAACGGGUGAGUAACACGUGGGUGAUCUGCCCUGCACUUCGGGAUAAGCCUGGGAAACUGGGGCUAAUACCGGAUAGGACCACUGCCUGCAUGGGUGGUGGUGGAAAGCUUUUGCGGUGUGGGAUGGGCCCGCGGCCUAUCAGCUUGUUGGUGGGGUGAUGGCCUACCAAGGCGACGACGGGUAGCCGGCCUGAGAGGGUGACCGGCCACACUGGGACUGAGAUACGGCCCAGACUCCUACGGGAGGCAGCAGUGGGGAAUAUUGCACAAUGGGCGCAAGCCUGAUGCAGCGACGCCGCGUGAGGGAUGACGGCCUUCGGGUUGUAAACCUCUUUCAGCACCGACGAAGCGCAAGUGACGGUAGGUGCAGAGGAAGGACCGGCCAACUACGUGCCAGCCGCCGCGGUAA
rnacentral:rRNA from 1 species